rnacentral:misc_RNA from 1 species
CUGAAAGAUAAUAGGGUUUUGAGACUACAUCUUAAUUGGUGUGUGCUCGACUCUUACUCUUUUAAUCCACAUACACCUUUUGUGCACUAUGGGACGAUUAAAAGUCCCCUUUAUUUACAUAAACACUUAGUUAUAUGCAUGUAUUUUAAUACUCUAUGGAGUAAUGUA